rnacentral:hammerhead_ribozyme from 1 species
AAUUGGUCGGGAGCUGAUGCCACUCUUCUGACGAGACCAUGGCAGGCCGAAACCAGUU